rnacentral:rRNA from 1 species
AGUGAACGCUGGCGGCAGGCCUAACACAUGCAAGUCGAGCGGCAGCGGGUCCUUCGGGAUGCCGGCGAGCGGCGGACGGGUGAGGAAUGCAUCGGAAUCUGCCCUGUCGUGGGGGAUAACCUAGGGAAACUUAGGCUAAUACCGCAUACGACCCACGGGUGAAAGCGGGGGAUCGCAAGACCUCGCGCGAUAGGAUGAGCCGAUGUCCGAUUAGCUAGUUGGCGGGGUAAAGGCCCACCAAGGCGACGAUCGGUAGCUGGUCUGAGAGGAUGAUCAGCCACACUGGGACUGAGACACGGCCCAGACUCCUACGGGAGGCAGCAGUGGGGAAUAUUGGACAAUGGGCGCAAGCCUGAUCCAGCCAUGCCGCGUGGGUGAAGAAGGCCUUCGGGUUGUAAAGCCCUUUUGUCCGGGAAGAAAUCGUCUGGGCUAAUACCCCGGGCGGAUGACGGUACCGGAAGAAUAAGCACCGGCUAACUUCGU